GGGCGCAUAGCUCAGUGGUAGAGCGCCACCUUGACACGGUGGAGGUCCAUAGUUCGAUCCUAUGUGCGCCCACCA
rnacentral:tRNA from 1 species